UUUAUCACUUCGUUUUGAAAGUGUAGUUGAAAUGUCAUCAGUGACAAUGCUAAAAUAUCUUUCUCGAGAAAAUCGUUGUCAGAAACAUGCCGUGCUUGAAAGCUCUAUUAUAUGCUUUCUCCCGUUCGGAAGCGGAGUCGACUCUAUUAUGCCCUGUCAAAGGCCUGAUUUCCAUGUAGUUGCGAGGCUUCCAAAUCACCAUCCAGCGUAUCAAGCCACCGUAAUUUCGGCCGUUUCCCAUCGAUUUCGAUGUUCAGGGUGUAAACUAUGGGGAAAGAUGGGGUCCGGAGUGGAAAUUGUAGGGGUCUAGGGCAGACCAAUCUUGGUAUUUCGAGACUAAUCUUCAAAUCGAUUAAUGCAAUCAAUUGCAAAGUAAACAAUCAAAAGGUCAACAUUAGCUACAAAAUACAAGAUUACGAUGACGUAACCGCACCUCUUUCAACAUAUUUAAAGUAUCAAUAGUACUUCACGCGGUAUUCAUGAAUAGUCGUAUCCAACGAAAUUUCCAGCAGUUAGAUAACCGAGUUAUCAGAGAAAAAGAGUGUGAAGCAACUACAAAAUCAAAUCUUGGUAUACCUGACAACCUUUGGUUUCGAGGCAGCAGUAAAGUUUACCUCAUUGAAAUGGGCAAAGUCGAAUUUCAUGUGGGUAAAAAGCAAAUGAAGGUACAAGUGUACAAGUACGAGUACAUAGAAGUAUGCAUAAUAGAUGGAAUUUUUGUUUGUUUAGAUUGAAAGUGUUGUGUGAAUUAAUUAAUGCUUUGUUGACAAUUUUGGAAUGGAUUGAAUUUACUUUUGUAUC